ACUUUAUCUAUUUAAAAUUAUGCGAUUUGAUUGUUUGAGUAACGAGUGUGACUUUUUGCAUUGUUUUGUUUGCUGAGGGACUAUUGCUAUUGACAUCGGGUUUAACUUCAAGCCUCAUGUUAUUUCGGUUUAGGUAUUUUAUUUGGUCCUAUGUUGUACUUUAUCUAUUACAAAUUAUGCUGAUUUGAGUUUUUUUGCUAAGUAAUAAGUUAGUGACUUUUUUUCUACUUACGUCAUUGUUUCUUUUGUUUUGCCGAGAAUAGUUCUUAUUGACUAUCGGACUCAAUGGGAUGUUAUACCAGCUAAAGGCUCAACUACUCCAAAUUCAUAUGUCCAAACCAUGGAAUAUUUGUAGGUACGUUAAAAGUGGCUUAAAUUUUGUUUAUGUAUCUUUAGGCCGUCGUAAUUAAUCUGAAACGUGAAUUUCCCGGGGUUCAUUUCAAGCUCAGUUAAUUAGGAUUAUUAGAUAAGGAAGGAGGGUUUUGGAUAAUCGUUUUUGGUACGUUGUUGUGUUGGAUAACUUUUAUUGUUUAUUGAGUGAUGGGAAUGCUGCUGGGCUGGUAAUUGUAUGGUUUAGUGACUCUUUGUUUUUGCAGUUUUCGUUUUCUGUUUUUUGCUUGAGAAUAUUGCAUUUGUUUGACUAUCGAUUCAACUUCAGUUCGAGUUCUUUAGUACUGUUUGUUAUAAUUUAUGUUGUACUUUAUUUAUUCAAAUUUGCUAAUUGAGUGUUUGAGUAACGAGUAGUGACUUAUUUGGCAUUGGUUUUCUUUUGCGAGACUAUGACUAUUGGACUAUCGGGUUUUUAAAUUCUAGCCUCAUGUUAUUUCGGGUAAUUAUUAGUCAUUGUCAUAUUUUGUUUUACUUGAUCUAUUAAAAUUAUGCUGAUUGAGUUUUUUUAGUUUUUUUUGUAAAUAAGUACGUGACUUUUUAUUUGUGUUUUUUUUGUGAAAACUUAUGCUAUGACUUCGGACUCAAUUGGGAAUUAUACCAUGCUAAAGGGCCUAAUACUUCAAAAUCAUAUCUCCUACAAUUUGGAAUAGGGUUAGGUACAUAAUAGUGGACUUAAUAAAUUUUGUUAUAUUUGUUUUAGGCCGUAAUUAACAUGACCUUCAAGUUUCCGGGUUUCCCCCCCCCCCCCCCCCCCCAUUUCAAACUCAAGUUAAUUAGGUAUUUAUUGAGGACAAGGUCCUUAGUUGCUUACUUUGUCUUUUUACAAUUAUGCUGAUUUGAGUUUUUUUGUAUAUAUGUAUUACGGUUUUGCAUUUGUUUUGUUUUCCGAGGACUAUUGCUAUUGACUAUCGGAUUCAAUUUUAAACUCGAGUUAUUUAGGUACUUUGUGUUGUAUUUUAUUUAUUUCAAAUUAUGCUGAUUUGAUUGUUUGUGUAACAAGUAGUGACUGUUUUGUAUUUUUCUUGUUUUGCGAGGGCUAAUACUAUUGACUAUCGGGUUUAACUUCAAACUCAAGUUAUUUGGGUAUUAGUAGUUGUUGUCGUAUGUUGUACUUUGUCUUUUUCAAAUUAUGCUACUUUAAAUUUUUAAGUAAUAAGUUGUGACUAUUUUGCAGUGUUUGUUUUGUAAGAUUAUAGCUAUUGACUACGGCUCAAUUGGAGGUUGUACCAAUGCUAUAGCGAUGUCUGAGGCUAAGUACUCUCAAAUUCAAAACUCCACCCUUUGAAUGUUGUGGUACGUAACAGUGACUUUAAAUUUUGUAUAUUUGUUUGAGGCCGUAAUUAACCUGAACUUCAAGUUUCCGGGUUCAACAAUUCAAACUCAAGUUAAUUAAGGUAAUUUAUUGACUAAUCUUAUGUUUACUUUGUCUUUUUACAAUUAUGGCUGAUUUGAGUUUUUGUAUAAAUAUGUUGUGACUGUUUUGCAUUUGUUUUGUUUUUUCCUCCCGAGGACUAUUGGCCUAUUGACUAAUCGGAUUCAAUUUUAAACCUUCGAGUUAUUUAGGUACUUUGUGUUGUUUUUAUUUAUUUCAAUUAUGCUGAUUUUAUGUUUGUGUACAAGUAGUGACUGUUUUGUAUUUUUCUCUUGUUUUGGCGGUGGCUAAUACUAUUGACUAGAUCGGGUUUAACUUCAAACUCAAGUUAUUUGGGGGUAUUAGUAAUUUGUUUUCGUAUGUUUGUACUUUUCUUUUUCAAUUAUGCUACCUUAAAUUUUUAAGUAAUAAGUUGUGAACUAUUUUGCAGUUGUUUUGUUUUGUAAGGAUUAUAGCUAUUGACUAUCGGGCUCAAUUGGGUGUACAAUGCUAAUAGCGAUGUCUGGGCUAAGUACUCUCAAAUCCAAACUCCACACCUUUGAAUGUUGUGGUACGUAACAGUGACUUUAAAUUUUGUAUAUUUAUCUUGGGCCGUAAUUAACCUGAACUUGAAGUUCCCCGAGUUCAAUUUCAAACUCAAGUUAAUUAGGUAUUAUUAGCAAUUUCAAACUCAAGUUAAUUAUGUAUUAUUAGACAAGGCCUUAUGUUGUACUUUGUCUUUUUAAAAUUAUGCUGAUU
rnacentral:lncRNA from 1 species